UUGGGUGGGUAGAUGGAUGGGUGGGCAGGUGGGUGAAAAGGUGAGUGGAUAGACGAGUGGAUGUAUAGUAAUGGUGGAUAGGAAGAUGGAUAGUGGGGUGGAUGGAUGGGUGACCAGAUAAAUGGGGGAGCCAGGAACGUAAGUGUGUCCCUAGUGGUAACAUUUAUUUGAUGACAAAGUCAAAACAUAAGCACUUAUAAACAAAGCAGGAACCUGCCAUCCCCAGAGAUACCUUCCAGCCUUGGGGUCUCGUAUUCACCAAGUGUUUCCCCAUACAGGGGUGCCAAGGCUGGGCUCAUCCCAGUUGAGUUACCACUUUUUCCCGUUUCUUCCCUCUCUUCAUUCGCCAGAUGGGCACACGCCUCACUGGGUCAAGGAAAAGGUGAAGUAACAGGGGUGAAGUCACGUUGUCAACUAGAACAUCCCCCACCCGGGCACGGAUACCAAUACAUGGGAUCUGUCACCAGGCCAACCCCAUCUCUCGUGGACCAGCCAGACUGCAAGAGUUGCUAUGAGCGAUCCCUGCCCCUGCUUCCUGGAGCACAGGUGUGAGUUCCUCGAGGGGCACACCCAUCCAUCUGCCAGAUCCUACUGAAUCGAGUUCCAACUCCUCAAGAAAGCGAUGCCAAGAGUCAGGCUGUUUAAGCUGCAAUCCCACUGGUGCACUUUGGGACCCAGGACCAGCCACCCUUCUCCGGGCCCUACUCUCCUCCUCGCUCCCCUCAGACCCGCUGCCAGCACCUCCAUCAUCUCUACCUGCCAGCCUGCCUGCCUUCAUCCGCGGAGGAGAGACACGGCUGCAGGCUGAGAGAGGCGGCUUCGCGGGGCCCGGCCGCAAGAGGCCGCGUUACCUGUGUACCCAGGUGUGGACACACAGCCAUGCGCAAGGUACACAGCAGCGUGGGGCGGAAAUCCCCACACACCUAUGAAAAGACCCAGCUGCCCAGUAGGGUUUAUGCCAGGGAUGCAAACCCGUUUCAGACAAAGUAGCCAUGGGAUUCACGCCGUUAACCGAUUGACGGAACGUGGCGUGGGUGUCUCCGUAAACGCUGAAACGGUGUACGAAACAUGCCCUCACCCAGGCUCCAGAAAAGAGAAAGGAGCUAGAUAGAAGGUGCAAAGCCAGGGCAGGGAGCGUGAGGGAAGCGGGGACUGAGGCAGGAGAGGACGAGGACGAGGCGCGGUGAGUUGUUGUCACGCGGCUCGCUGUUUCUUGGAAAAGCACAGCAAGUGAUUGGCCAGCGGGGCUGCUCAGCCCUCAGGGAGCCUCCAGAUGGACAUGCCUCCGGGCAGUCUAUCAGAGGAGGAAAGAUGGGAUCCAUCAGCCCAGCUCCCUCCUCAGCUUCCGUUUCCCAUUGGCCAAAGUUCCCCUCCCGGAUUCAUUCUCCUGCAUUUCGAGUUGCCUCGUGAAAGCCAUUGGCAGCUUCUUGGGAACCCAUGCCCUAUCGUGUGGUCUUUGUCCAAAGUCCAGAAAUGGCCAGAGAAGCCAGAGACUCUGGGCUUGUAGCUGAUCGGCGUUGGGCAGCAGAAUCGCACGGGCCCACAUGGAGUCUCUUGGCCGCCGUGGUGGCUGGAGCAGAGCAAACAGCUGAAGUCUGGGAAGCAGGGGAGUCCAAGAGAAUCUGAAGGCGUCACAUACGAUUAAGCGUCACAUCUAAAAGCAUCACAUACGAUUCAUCUCAACUUCCAUUUCUGAUAAAAAAAAAAACUCAUCAAGCCACAUCCUUAUCAAUGAAAUAUUAAAAAGACCCCCCUUUCAAUUCGGGACUGAGAUAAAGUUAUCCAGGGUCAUCACCGCUACCCAACCUUAGACCUCAGGCGUAGCCAACGUAAUAAGACAAGAAAAAAAAUUAAAGUUUAAUGUCGGGGGAGGAAGAGACAAGUUUGUCAUUACGUAUGUACGUAAUAUGACUGUCUCCCUUAAAAAUGCGAAAGAAGCAGCCGACGAACUAAUUAACAAGACACGUUAUGUGCAAAUCAUGAUGGCUUCUUCUCCCCUCCCCUUUUACAUCCGAAGUUCCAAGAAAACUCACCUGUUCUGUUCCUUGCACCUGCGCUCUGUGGUUUCCCGACUCUGGACCUUUACCUCACCUUGAUCUUCUUGCAUUUUCUGCAGAGACAAAUCCCACCUAGUUCCCAAUGCCCAGUGCAAGUGCCACUGUGUUUCUAUAAAACCCCCCUUGUUCCCCCAACCACAAACGGGCCCUCUCUCCAUCCUCUAAAGGUCACACAACUUGUAUAAUCCACUCGUUCACUGUAGUUCUCCAAAGGUAACUACCCCCUCCUACCUUUUAUUCUAGUUACUUGCACACAUAUCCUAUCUACUGUGCGAGCACCUUGAGGUCAGAGACUGGAGGGAAAGACUACAGUUUAGUGACAAAACGCACCUUGGAACUUGACAGACCCAUCUUCAAAGCCCAGCGCCACUAUUUCUAAGCUGUGUGCCCUUAGGCGAGCUCUUGACUUCUCUGAGCUCUUCUUUCCUAUAGAAAUUGGGACUAUAUUAGUGUUGCUUUGAAGUUGGUACUGAACAGGUUGACAUUAUAUGUAUAUGCACCCCUACUCUUAGCAAACUACCCAGCACAUGACAGAGGAUACCAGCAUUAUUACUCAGUAUUAUUCCUUAUCUCCUUGUCCCUAACACCUAGGACAGUGCCAAAAUAUAACUGGAGUUCACAAGUUGCUUGAUGAAUGACUUCCAUUUAAAACCAUUCAGCAAAUAUUUCUUGAGAGCUUCCAUGUACAGAGCGAUGUCCCAGAUGCUAGGGACGCAAGGAUGAGCAAGAUUCAAACCCAGCCUCCUCCAGCUCAAGGGUGUCAGAGGAAUAUAAAGAAAGACAAGAAGCCCAAAUGUAGAGAAAGUCGGACCCAAGCCCACUGAAGUCACCCUCACAAUCCCCCGGGGUUGUCCUUGUAGAGAAGUCAGCGUAAGGCAUGGAAUCUUAGGCCAUCGGGUCCUUAGAGAGGCGAGGUCAAGAGUCGACAGCCCUGAGUUUGGAUCCUGGCUCCUGCCUUCAUCAUUUGGGUGAACUCAGGGGCAUUGUCUCCUCUCGUUAAGUUUUGGUUCUUCUUCUGUAGGAUGGGGGUAAUAGCAGCACUUCCCAUGCAGGGUUGCUCUGGGGUAAGUUGAGGUCACCAAAUGAAAAGAAUAUGGCACAUCACCCGGUGUCUACUGAGCUAACAUCCACCCCACCCUCAACUCCUGCUGAUGGGGAACGGGAGGCAUCACGAGUCCCACCAGGCUGUAACCAGGUCAGACCUCCUGGCUCCAAGGCUGUGUUCAUCUUGGGACUUCCCGGCUCCCGGCCAGCUCUGACAUCUUGAGAGCCUACAGAAAGUUCAGGAAGGUGAGCCAAGUGGUUUCCGCAGGCCCUCGCCAGCUAAUAGUGAGCCAGCGCAAGCCUGGAUCACAGGUGCCAUGUUAGAUCAAGGCAGCCCUUUGUCAUUUCUGCUCUGCUCUAGGAACCUCUGCGUUUCCUUCCUUCCAGGCAAAGCGUCAGGUACCUUGAGUCCCCUUGCUUGGCUGACAUUCCCCACCUAGACUUCACCAGCCCCAGCCCCCUUGAAAAUAAGGGACAUCAGAGUACACGGGGUUUUCCUUCUCUUACCCCAAAGCACCUCCCCAAAACGGAUAUUCUUACUGAGGAAUAUCUCUCUGUACUGGCAUGGGCAGAUACAUUAAGUGAAGAUAAAUUAAGUGAAAAAUUGGAAACUGCCACAACGCUGCUCGGUCCAACCCUACUUUUUAAAAAUAGACACCUGAAAAAGAAAACGCUGCAGAAAUAUUAACCCACAGAUUCCCACUGGUUAUGUCUGAGGGUGGCAUUAGAGUGGAUGUUCUAGAUUACAUGUUCCCGUAACGUUUUCAUUUGCAUUGCAUUGCUAAUCAGGAAUAAUAGAUUGUUGGAAAAGGGAAAGGGGUUCUUGAGACCUUGGCCAGCAUGAGAGGUCAGGAGGGCUGCCAGGGAAAAGUUCUAGAGCAUUCCAUUCUAGAGUCAGAGAGACCACCUGCCCCAGGCUGGGAAAAUGCCAGCCUUUGGUGGAGGACUGAGUUGAGCAGAAAAGAAAAUCGAUCAUCUCUUUCCUUAAAAAUAUAUGUCUGUUUCCUGGGGCACCUGGGUGGUUCGGUCGGUUAAGCAUCUGACUUCGG